GGGCCAGUGAUGAGAACUUUAACCUGACUGGAUACGCACCUGCUCUGAUGGGUUAAAGGAUUUACCUGAGGCCA
ensembl:snoRNA